UUUAACAAAAUUGCCUAUCUUAAGGGAGCAUUCCCAAACAUUCAACUCUACAUAAUUUCCAUUUCUUUGAUCCCCAUUUUUUUUCUUUUCUUUUUCUUUUCACAUCCAUACAACCAUGAGCCUUUUCUUUGUUUUUUUUUCUUUCUUUUCUUUUUCUUUGCUCUAAGGUUUCAAGGGUGAUUUCUUUUUCUUGUUUCUUUUCAUAUUUUCACCCUUUCAUAAAAACUCACUUUCCCAAGUUUCUAAUCAACUCUUUUUACUUUAAUCUCCCCAACUUUAGAUUCCAAAACCAAAUUUAUUCAAUAAUGCUCCCUACUUAGACAUAAGCAAAAGGCAAAAUUUGCAAACAACUCGGUUUGAAGGUUCAAUUGACACGAAAUAAAUUAGGAUUCAUUUAUUCACAAAAUUUUCAAUUGAUUU
rnacentral:lncRNA from 1 species